GUGAGGAAUAUUGCGCAAUGGAGGCAACUCUGACGCAGCCAUGCCGCGUGCAGGAAGAAGGCGCUACGCGUUGUAAACUGCUUUUAACCGGGAAGAAACCCCAGGACGUGUCCUGGGUUGACGGUACCGGAGGAAUAAGCACCGGCUAACUUCGUGCCAGCAGCCGCGGUAAUACGAAGGGUGCAAGCGUUAUCCGGAUUCAUUGGGUUUAAAGGGUGCGUAGGCGGAGCGUUAAGUCAGUGGUGAAAUCCUGCAGCUUAACUGUAGAAUUGCCAUUGAUACUGGCGCUCUUGAGUGCGCUUGAAGUGGGCGGAAUGUGCCGUGUAGCGGUGAAAUGCUUAGAUAUGGCACAGAACACCAAUUGCGAAGGCAGCUCACUAAGGCGAUACUGACGCUGAGGCACGAAAGCGUGGGGAUCGAACAGGAUUAGAAACCCGGGUAGUCC
rnacentral:rRNA from 1 species